AGUUCAGUUGGAAGCAAAUAGGAAGUAGUAAUAGGAAGUGGUCUAUUUGAAGUCACUGAGACAAUUUGGGAUGUACUAUGAGUAAUUGAGAAGUACUAAAAGCAUGUAAAUAAUAAGUACAUUGCAAAUCUAGCUCAAAUGUUGACUUUAAACUUAAUAUUUUGUUAACAAAGUAUUGUUUGGAAUAUGAUAUGGAGCUGAGAAACUUUUGUUGUCGAACAAUUUUGGUCAAAGAAUUUUAUAACUCCCUGCUUGGAAUUUUAUUAGAAUGUAGGCGAAAAAACGAGACAUUCUCAAUUUUUCAAGCAACCAGAUGAUUUAGUAUAUUGCUCAGAUUUGCUGGUUUGAUUAAGAAGAAAAAGGAAUGAGUAGAGGCUAAUUAAAGAUUAAGGGCCGUUCUCUUACACUAUGAUAACAUUUAUUAAUCAUUGUUUGUUGCUCAUUCUGUAUAAAUAAAGGAAGAAUAUGAAAAUCUUGAUAUAGUUUAAAAAGAGAACAUUCUGUGUAAGAAGUCACGAAAAACGUUCCAUUGCCACCUUUACACAUAAAUUUAGGACUAAUAAAACAGUUUGGAAAGUCUUAGCUAAGGAGAAACAAUGUUUUAAGUAUAUUUGCAAGAUAAUUUUUCAUCUGUCAGAAGUAAAAUUAGAAGAAAUUGUGUUUAUUGAGAUAUAAAUGAUAAACUUUUUAAACAGUCAGCUUGACAAGACAUCAAAGUGAUGGAAAGAGCUGUUAGAGAGAUUGUUGGUCAUUACAUGGAGAUGUUCAUUAAGGGACUCAUAGGAGAAAGAGUUAUAUUACAAGCUUUCAGGAAGCAUUUUUACAUAAUAUUUUAAUUAAAACUUUCUAAGAAUUCAAGAAAAAAAUUCUAAGAAA